rnacentral:lncRNA from 1 species
AAAAAUAUGUCUUUUAAUUGGUAAACAGAGUAUUAUGGUUAAAUAGAAAAUGAGUUUGAAAGACGUGUGUACAAAUCCUUUUUCAACUUAAUGGUGACCAGAUGGGAGCAAGGUAAAUAAAAGUAACGAAAAUAAAUAAUAAAAAAAAACCAAUUCAGAAACAACGACAAAACCUUCUGAUCUGACACUUUUUGUGAUUUUAUACACGAGUGUGUGGGCAUUUCACUUCUAAAUUAAAUGUUAUUAUAUGAUAUAGAAACCAGUCGUAAACAUUAAUAUACUAGUACAAUCUAUUGAUAAUGUUGUGUUUUUUUAAACAGAGGUUGAAUGUAAUGUUUAAAUAACAAAUGAUAUUGAAAGAAGUAUGUACAGAUACUUUUUGAAAUUGAUAGUGACAAGAUGGGAGUAAGGUAAAAAAAUUAAGUGCUGAUUUCAGUUUUCAUUCUUUCCCCUCCCAAUUUAAAAUUUAAAAACAAACAAAUAAAAACGACAAUAAACAUUGUUGGAGCUAAUUUCAGUUUUGAUCAAUCAGCUGAGUUCUGAAAUCAACAACUUCAUGCACAAU